AACGAACGCUGGCGGCAUGCCUAACACAUGCAAGUCGAACGAUCCCUUCGGGGAUAGUGGCGCACGGGUGCGUAACGCGUGGGAACCUGCCCUUAGGUUCGGAAUAACUCAGAGAAAUUUGAGCUAAUACCGGAUAAUGUCUUCGGACCAAAGAUUUAUCGCCUUUGGAUGGGCCCGCGUUGGAUUAGCUUGUUGGUGGGGUAAAGGCCUACCAAGGCGACGAUCCAUAGCUGGUCUGAGAGGAUGAUCAGCCACACUGGGACUGAGACACGGCCCAGACUCCUACGGGAGGCAGCAGUGGGGAAUAUUGGACAAUGGGCGAAAGCCUGAUCCAGCAAUGCCGCGUGAGUGAUGAAGGCCUUAGGGUUGUAAAGCUCUUUUACCCGGGAUGAUAAUGACAGUACCGGGAGAAUAAGCCCCGGCUAACUCCGUG
rnacentral:rRNA from 1 species